rnacentral:tRNA from 1 species
GUCCCCGUGGCUCAAUUGGAUAGAGCAAGGGAUUUCUAAUCCCUAGGUUGCAGGUUCGAGUACUGCCGGGGGCACCA